UACCGCGGUUAUACGAAAAGCCCUAGCUGAUAGGCCUCCGGCACAAAGGGUGGUUAAGAAAACCCCACAUAAAGCCAAACUUGCCCCCAGCUGUGAUACGCAGCCCACGAGCGAAGACCACUACAAAAGUAGCUUUAUUUUCUCUGAAGCCACGAAAGCCAGGACA
rnacentral:rRNA from 1 species